GACAGAGGUGCCGAGCGUUAGGCGGAAUCACUGGGCUUAAAGCGUGUGUAGGCGGACUUCUAAGUACCUUGUGAAAUCCACAGCUCAACUGUGGAACUGCUCGGUAUACUGGUUGUCUUGAGCACUAGGGGCAGUCGGAACAGACGGUGGAGCGGUGAAAUGCGUAGAUAUCGUCGUGGAACGCCAAAGGUGAAAACAGAC
rnacentral:rRNA from 1 species